rnacentral:rRNA from 1 species
GACGAACGCUGGCGGCGUGCUUAACACAUGCAAGUCGAACGGAAAGGCCCUGCUUUUGUGGGGUGCUCGAGUGGCGAACGGGUGAGUAACACGUGAGUAACCUGCCCUUGACUUUGGGAUAACUUCAGGAAACUGGGGCUAAUACCGGAUAGGAGCUCCUGCUGCAUGGUGGGGGUUGGAAAGUUUCGGCGGUUGGGGAUGGACUCGCGGCUUAUCAGCUUGUUGGUGGGGUAGUGGCUUACCAAGGCUUUGACGGGUAGCCGGCCUGAGAGGGUGACCGGCCACAUUGGGACUGAGAUACGGCCCAGACUCCUACGGGAGGCAGCAGUGGGGAAUAUUGCACAAUGGGCGGAAGCCUGAUGCAGCAACGCCGCGUGCGGGAUGACGGCCUUCGGGUUGUAAACCGCUUUCGCCUGUGACGAAGCGUGAGUGACGGUAAUGGGUAAAGAAGCACCGGCUAACUACGUGCCAGCAGCCACGGUGAUACGUAGGGUGCGAGCGUUGUCCGGAUUUAUUGGGCGUAAAGGGCUCGUAGGUGGUUGAUCGCGUCGGAAGUGUAAUCUUGGGGCUUAACCCUGAGCGUGCUUUCGAUACGGGUUGACUUGAGGAAGGUAGGGGAGAAUGGAAUUCCUGGUGGAGCGGUGGAAUGCGCAGAUAUCAGGAGGAACACCAGUGGCGAAGGCGGUUCUCUGGGCCUUUCCUGACGCUGAGGAGCGAAAGCGUGGGGAGCGAACAGGCUUAGAUACCCUGGUAGUCCACGCUGUAAACGGUGGGUACUAGGUGUGGGGUCCAUUCCACGGGUUCCGUGCCGUAGCUAACGCUUUAAGUACCCCGCCUGGGGAGUACGGCCGCAAGGCUAAAACUCAAAGGAAUUGACGGGGCCCCGCACAAGCGGCGGAGCAUGCGGAUUAAUUCGAUGCAACGCGUAGAACCUUACCUGGGUUUGACAUGGAUCGGGAGUGCUCAGAGAUGGGUGUGCCUCUUUUGGGGUCGGUUCACAGGUGGUGCAUGGCUGUCGUCAGCUCAUGUCGUGAGAUGUUGGGUUAAGUCCCGCAACGAGCGCAACCCUUGUUCACUGUUGCCAGCACGUUAUGGUGGGGACUCAGUGGAGACCGCCGGGGUCAACUCGGAGGAAGGUGGGGAUGACGUCAAGUCAUCAUGCCCCUUAUGUCCAGGGCUUCACGCAUGCUACAAUGGCUGGUACAGAGAGUGGCGAGCCUGUGAGGGUGAGCGAAUCUCGGAAAGCCGGUCUCAGUUCGGAUUGGGGUCUGCAACUCGACCUCAUGAAGUCGGAGUCGCUAGUAAUCGCAGAUCAGCAACGCUGCGGUGAAUACGUUCCCGGGGCU